rnacentral:lncRNA from 1 species
UUGAAAGGCCCACCAGCCAGGUGUGAGGGCUCUUGCCUAUAAAUGCAACACUUCAGUAAGCUGAGGUGGAAAGAUCACUUGAGCCCAGGAGUUACAGAACAGCCUGGGCAACGCAGGAAGACUCCCAUCUCUACAAAAUGUUAGGGAAAAAAAAAAAACAGGCAUGGGGCACACACUUGUGGUCCCAGCUACUUGAAAGGGGACACUGAGGUAGAAGGAUCUCGUGGGCUCAGAAGAUCGAGGCUGCAGUGAGCCAUGAUUGCAUCACUGCACUCCAGCCUGGGUGACAGAGUGAAGAAAAGAAAGAAAGAAAGAGAGAGAGAGAGAGAGAGGNNNNNNNNNNGGAAGGAAGGAAGGAAGGAAGGAAGGAAGGAAGGAAGGAAGGAAGGAAGGAAGGAGGGAAGGGGAAAGGAAGGGAAGGGAAGGAGGGAGGGAGGGAAUGAAGGAAGGAAGGAAGGACGGGAGGGAAGGAGGGAAGGAAGGAAGGAAAGAAGGAAGUUUUUGAAAUGAGUUUUUGAAAAGAAAAAUUCCUUUCUCUCUCAGAAAGUUGAUAUUUCAAACACACAAUAAGCUGAGUCACAUACUUGACUGAGUCUUUAUAAAUUGGAGAUAACAAUUAGACUUGUCCUUCCAUUUCCAGACUUUGUGCUCUAGCUAUACAAGUCUGCACUUCAAUGAGAUCCAGCUUAGUAACCUUAAACACUAUUUUGUAGUUCUUUCCAACCUCAUUGUAUUG